AGCAAUGCCUCUUGUGGCCUCUUCUGCUGUCGUGGAGGAAUUGCUACUGGCGUGAUGCAUGUUGGACCCUGAUACACGCAAAAUGCUUAAAUUUGGUUCUUUUAACUUGGGUACAGACCAAAGCACAGAUGACUGAUUCCUGGAUGCGAGGGCUACAGCAGCCCGUGGGAUCAGUUUUGGAAUGCUGCCACCACUUGUGAAGGUUCCAGAGUCAUGUUUAUGAGAUUAAGUACCAAACUGCACUCCCAGCUCAACGGAUGACCCCAACAUCCCACCUUGAUAUCUUUCAUGAGAAAUUAAAUGCCAUUUGGAAAGGCUGUGUGUGAAUGAACAUGUUUGUAUGUUCAUAUGUGUGUAUUUAUUUGCACAAAGAUGCACAACUAGAAGCAGCUGCUGGAGCCCCUUGCUUUCAACCCACUGCGCUUGCCUCAAAUCACCCUCCAGAGAGCACCUCAUAGACAUGGUACAUCAGAGACUGCUGACUGAUCCAGACCAGCUCCCAUGAGACACACAGCACCAGUUUGUCUUCAUAUGUCAGAGCUGGUUGUUGUUGAAACUCCUUUGGCCCAAGUUAAAUAAAAAAGUGACAACAGUUGAAGAAUGUUCAACUUCACCUCCUGAAAAACGCAGCGCUCAUCACUGUCACUUUUUCAUCCGUCAGCCAUCCAAUCACAACCGCCACAUCCUCCUUGUACAACAGCAACAACAACAGAACAAAGUCAUUUUAAACAAGGGCCAGAGCAAGUACUUUAUACUGUCAACAUUUUUAUAUUCAUAUA